GGAUGAGCCCGCGGCCUAUCAGCUAGUUGGUGAGGUAACGGCUUACCAAGGCGAUGACGGGUAGCUGGUCUGAGAGGACGACCAGCCACACUGGAACUGAGACACGGUCCAGACACCUACGGGUGGCAGCAGUCGAGAAUUUUUCUCAAUGGGGGAAACCCUGAAGGAACGACGCCGCGUGGAGGAUGAAGGUCUUCGGAUUGUAAACUCCUGUCAUUGGUGAACAAGGUCUGCGGUUAACUGCCGUUGGAUUUGAUAGUAGCCGAAGAGGAAGAGACGGCUAACUCUGUGCCAGCAGCCGCGGUAAUACAGAGGUCUCAAGCGUUGUUCGGAUUCAUUGGGCGUAAAGGGUGCGUAGGCGGCGAGGCAAGUCUGGUGUGAAAUCCCGGGGCUCAACCCCGGAACUGCACUGGAUACUGCUUUGCUAGAGUACUGGAGAGGGAACUGGAAUUUACGGUGUAGCAGUGAAAUGCGUAGAUAUCGUAAGGAAGACCAGCGGCGAAGGCGAGUUCCUGGACAGUUACUGACGCUGAGGCACGAAGGCCAGGGGAGCAAACGGGAUUAGAUACCCCGGUAGUCCUGGCAGUAAACGGUGUGCGUUUGGUGUGGGAGGAUUCGACCCCUUCCGUGCCGGAGCUAACGCGUUAAACGCACCGCCUGGGGAGUACGGUCGCAAGAUUAAAACUCAAAGAAAUUGACGGGGGCCCGCACAAGCGGUGGAGUAUGUGGCUUAAUUCGAUGCAACGCGAAGAACCUUAC
rnacentral:rRNA from 1 species